rnacentral:rRNA from 1 species
UGGCGAACGGGUGAGUAACACGUGAGUAACCUGCCCUUCACUUCGGGAUAACCUCGGGAAAUCGUGGCUAAUACCGGAUAUGGAGCUCCUGCCGCAUGGUGGGGGUUGGAAAGAUUUAUCGGUGAGGGAUGGACUCGCGGCCUAUCAGUUUGUUGGUGAGGUAAUGGCUCACCAAGACGAUGACGGGUAGCCGGCCUGAGAGGGCGACCGGCCACACUGGGACUGAGACACGGCCCAGACUCCUACGGGAGGCAGCAGUGGGGAAUAUUGCACAAUGGGCGGAAGCCUGAUGCAGCGACGCCGCGUGGGGGAUGACGGCCUUCGGGUUGUAAACCUCUUUCAGUAGGGAAGAAGCGAAAGUGACGGUACCUGCAGAAGAAGCGCCGGCUAACUACGUGCCAGCAGCCGCGGUAAUACGUAGGGCGCAAGCGUUGUCCGGAAUUAUUGGGCGUAAA